rnacentral:tRNA from 1 species
GGGGAGGUGCCAGAGUGGCCAAAUGGGGCGGGCUGUAAACCCGUUGGCAAUUGCCUACGAUGGUUCGAAUCCAUCCCUCCCCA